UCUAUUGAGAAUUUGAUCUUGGUUCAGAUCGAAUGCUGACGGCGUGGAUGAGGCAUGCAAGUCGCACGAUAUGGGGGCAACUCCAUAUAGUGGCGC
rnacentral:rRNA from 1 species